UGUAGAGUACCUAAUUUAAAGGGCCGCCUUGAUACGGCAGACAUGCACAAUGCUUCUAUGU
rnacentral:tRNA from 1 species